AGAAUCAACGCUGGCGGCGUGCCUAACACAUGCAAGUCGAACGAGAAAGGGGAGCAAUCCCUGAGUACAGUGGCGACCGGGUGAGUAACACGUGACUAACCUACCCUCGAGUGUGGAAUAACAUCGGGAAACCGAUGCUAAUACCGCAUAACAUCGCAAGAUCAAAGGAGUAAUCCGCUUGAGGAGGGGGUCGCGGCUGAUUAGCUAGUUGGCGGGGUAAUGGCCCACCAAGGCGAAGAUCGGUAUCCGGCCUGAGAGGGCGCACGGACACACUGGAACUGAAACACGGUCCAGACUCCUACGGGAGGCAGCAGUGGGGAAUUUUUGCGCAAUGGGGGAAACCCUGACGCAGCAACGCCGCGUGGAGGAUGAAGCCCCUUGGGGCGUAAACUCCUUUCGACCAAGACGAUAAUGACGGUACUGGUGGAAGAAGCACCGGCUAACUCUGUCGCCAGCAGCCGC
rnacentral:rRNA from 1 species